CAAAAACCUGAGUACCAUAAAUAUGAAGAAACAACAAAAUCUGCCUCUGAAGCGAAUCUUAUAGCUUUACAAAAUAAAACAAAAAGAUUUGCUUCAGUUGUAGGAUUUCAAUACUUUGUUUCCCCAAGCCCCUGGUUUGUCCAGCUGCAGAUUGAAUUUGGAAGGAGAGAAAUGUUGACAGGAAAAUUUGGUUUGACAAAAGUCAAAAUCGAUCAGUGAUUUUUU